rnacentral:lncRNA from 1 species
GCCUAAUGAGCCAGCGGAUGUUUGGGCUCAUUGCGAAAUGAAGAACCUAGAGGGGGAUUUUAUUUUUCUUAAUUAAACAACAACCAAAAAAACGUCUCUGAGCACUACACUAAGCAACAAAUAGGCCCUAGCGGAUUAUAAAUAAGAAGAAAAGGAAUAAAAACCUCAAAGUAUAUUGAUCAGAGUGCUGAAUAGUACUUUCAUUCUUCAAGUUUUCUGGUGUUUAAAAGCCAUAUCAAGGUGUUGCUUCCUUCUUCCCUCCCG